CCAAAAGGGAGACUCGCCUGGGGAACUCAGAGGAGAUGGAAGUAAACCAGCAAAGAGUUGAACUCAGGACAGACUAGAAUAAGGAGAGAUUCGAGUGAGAAAGUUGAGAGAGACGGGAAGGAAGAAGGUCGGGACUGAGAAGAGUUUUCAGAGCAGACUGAAAGCCAGCAGUUCUUCAGACCCUCCAGGACUCCAGAUCAGAACUGCAGCAACAUCCAGCCUCCUGGAAUGAAUGGCUACCAGAUUAUCAGCCCUUCCACAAAGAGAGCCAGUAUUGGACUGCCAUGACCGCAACCUACAACUCUAGCGGACGGCUGGAAACAUGAUCACCUGCCUAGAGGGAGCCCAAAGCAGAUUAACUAUUUGCCACUACAGUAAGUAUCUUGUAUCUGAUAAAAUUUCCCUUAUACUAGAU